CGCUGGCCCCUCGUCUGCUCCACGAGGAAAUUUAAUUCUGCAGUUGAACGUCAAAGAAAGCGAGACUUUUAAACGCAUUGGAAAUAAUGUGCAUGUGGAUGUAGACAUUAGUCUUUCUCAGGCGUGUCUUGGGGGAGUCGCCCGGGUUCCCUCGCUGUAUGGAGAUGUGGAACUGAAGGUUCCCCCAGGAACACAACCUGGCGAUCGAGUAAAAUUGCGAGGCAAAGGGUUUUAUAAGCUUAAUAAUUACCAGAAAGGCGAUCAAAUUGUUACCUUUAAAGUAAAAAUACCAAAAAAUUUAACAGAGAAACAAAAAGAACUUCUUAAGCAAUUUGAUGAAGAAAUACAGAAUAGCAAAAACGAUGAUAAAAGUUUUUUUGAAAAAUUGAAGGAGAAAAU